AUACGGGGGGUGCAAGCGUUGUCCGGAAUCAUUGGGCGUAAAGGGUUCGUAGGUGGAAUUAUAAGUCUGGUGUGAAAGCCCACAGCUCAACUGUGGAACUGCACUGGAUACUGUUUUUCUUGAGUUAUAGAGGGGUUUGUGGAAUUUCUGGUGUAGAGGUGAAAUUUGUAGAGAUCAGAAAGAACACCGGUGGCGAAGGCGACAAACUGGCUAUUAACUGACACUGAGGAACGAAAGCGUGGGGAGCAAACAGGAUUAGAUACCCUAGUAGUCC
rnacentral:rRNA from 1 species